GAUGAAGAACGCAGCAAAAUGCGAUAAGUAAUGUGAAUUGCAGAAUUCAGUGAAUCAUCGAAUCUUUGAACGCACAUUGCGCCCGCCAGUAUUCUGGCGGGCAUGCCUGUUCGAGCGGCAUUUCAACCCUCAAGCCCCCGGGUUUGGUGUUGGGGAUCGGGCUGUACUCCAGCCCGGCCCCGAAAUCUAGUGGCGGUCUCGCUGCAGCCUCCAUUGCGUAGUAGCUAACACCUCGCAACUGGAACGCGGCGCGGCCAAGCCGUUAAACCCCCAACUUCUGAAUGUUGACCUCGGAUCAGGUAGGAAUACCCGCUGAACUUAAGCAUAUCAAUAAGCGGAGGA
rnacentral:misc_RNA from 1 species